UACGUAGGGGGCAAGCGUUGUCCGGAAUCAUUGGGCGUAAAGCGCGUGUAGGCGGCUGAGUAAGUCUGCUCUGAAAGCCCGGGGCUCAACCCCGGGAGGCGGGUGGAUACUGCUCAGCUCGAGUCCGGAAGAGGAGUGUGGAAUUCCUGGUGUAGCGGUGAAAUGCGUAGAUAUCCGGAGGAACACCGGUGGCGAAGGCGGCUUCCUGGACCGACACUGACGCUGAGGCGCGAAAGCUAGGGGAGCAAACGGG
rnacentral:rRNA from 1 species